UCCUACGGGAGGCAGCAGUGGGGAAUAUUGGACAAUGGGCGAAAGCCUGAUCCAGCCAUGCCGCGUGUGUGAAGAAGGUCUUCGGAUUGUAAAGCACUUUAAGUUGGGAGGAAGGGCAAUUACCUAAUACGUGAUGGUUUUGACGUUACCGACAGAAUAAGCACCGGCUAACUCUGUGCCAGCAGCCGCGGUAAUACAGAGGGUGCAAGCGUUAAUCGGAAUUACUGGGCGUAAAGCGCGCGUAGGUGGUUUGUUAAGUUGGAUGUGAAAUCCCCGGGCUCAACCUGGGAACUGCAUUCAAAACUGACUGACUAGAGUAUGGUAGAGGGUGGUGGAAUUUCCUGUGUAGCGGUGAAAUGCGUAGAUAUAGGAAGGAACACCA
rnacentral:rRNA from 1 species